AUUGAACGCUGGCGGCAUGCUUUACACAUGCAAGUCGAACGGUAACAGGGAGCUUGCUCCGCUGACGAGUGGCGAACGGGUGAGUAAUGCAUCGGAACGUACCCAGUCGUGGGGGGAUAACGUAGCGAAAGUUACGCUAAUACCGCAUACGUCCUGAGGGAGAAAGCGGGGGACCGUAAGGCCUCGCGCGAUUGGAGCGGCCGAUGUCGGAUUAGCUAGUUGGUAGGGUAAAGGCCUACCAAGGCGACGAUCCGUAGCGGGUCUGAGAGGAUGAUCCGCCACACUGGGACUGAGACACGGCCCAGACUCCUACGGGAGGCAGCAGUGGGGAAUUUUGGACAAUGGGCGAAAGCCUGAUCCAGCCAUGCCGCGUGAGUGAAGAAGGCCUCGGUGUAAGACUCUUUCUAGCCGGAAGGAAAUACGCGCGAGGAGUAAUAACUACU
rnacentral:rRNA from 1 species